UACGAAGGGGGGCGAGCGUUGUUCGGAAUUACUGGGCGUAAAGGGCGUGUAGGCGGCCCCCUUUUGUCGCGUGUGAAAGCCCCCGGGCUCAACCUGGGGAACGGCGCGCGAAACGGGGGGGGGCUUGAGUUCGGGAGAGGAGCGUGGAAUUCCCAGUGUAGAGGUGAAAUUCGUAGAUAUUUGGGAAGAACACCGGGUGGCGAAGGCGGCGCUCUGGACCGAGACUGACGCUGAGGAGCGAAAAGCGUGGGGGAGCGAAACAGG
rnacentral:rRNA from 1 species